CUCUUCCGAUCUACGAUUCUCAUAUUUAGCGAUGGUUGCGGCUCUGGUGUGUUGAUCCUUUGGGGUCUUAGCACGACUACUACCACACCGUCCACUACCACAAGCAAUCAUUUGGCAAGAUCUGCCCGGCUCCGGUGAUGGAGAGGCAAGAACGAGGGCCUACCUUCGGCUCGUUCUGGUGCGUUUUGCUAUCGCUAGGUGGUCCAAGGACCUACUUGUAAUUCUUAUUACUUUAGAACUCUUUGUACUGCUGUUGAUUAUUAUUAAUAGAUCUCUGAUCCUUUUCGCAGAAAAAUAAAAAAUAUAAUAAAUAUGGCUAACUACUCCUCUUUCGCCCCAAAGGCUUCCACCCGAUAGAAAAAAAAUAGGCUCAUGCCCUAGCCGCAAACCAGCGCAUCCUCCGGAUCCCUACUUCUUUUACGUUUGGUGAUAUAGUAGGUCUUCAAACAUUAGGUUUGGUUAACCGACAGCGGCGCCAUGCAUGGUGGUGAUGGCGGCACCAUGCGGGUCAAGAAUAUGGUUUUUUUGACUCCUUGUCCACCUCGUCGACGAUGAUCCUGCAGGUGGCGUUGAGGAGUGCGAGACGGUUGGUUGCUAUUCUUCUAGAGUGAUGGAUCUAUUUUGUGUUUGUGCUUUGCAGGUCAUCCACGCGUAUCGGUUUAUUGGUUCCUUUUCCGAUCGAUGAGACUCCGCCAGUUUCGACCUCAUCAUGGAAUUAAUGCGGCCAGGUCUUCCAGCCCUCUUCAUCGUUUUCUUCUCUGGGACGAUGGUCUGUUUCUCGGAUCACUGUCGCCAACUUCUUCUGGUUCUGACCGGCGACUUCCCGACUGCCACGCCGACAACAAUUUCCUGGCUUUGACAUGGUUCGAAAGUCCAAAGGCAGCAUUGAACUUCGCUCAAGGCGCGCUACCGGCGAGUACGUGCAGAGGAAGACAACGACGUUUACGUACAAGAACUUGCGUGAAAUUUUUUUUUACUUUAAAAAUUGUUCUGUAAGGAUUGGUUGAUUUUAAUAUAUGACCUUGGCCUUCUCGCAAAAAAAAACUACUCCUGUUUUCAAAUUUAAUAUAAAUGUUCUUAUUUUAUAUGAUGUCAAAAUUUUCAAACUCUGAUCAAAUUGAUGGAAAAACUACACACAUCUACACCUCGAAAUUAGUUUCAUUAAAUCCGUGAUAUAUAUCUUCAUACUAUGUUUAUUUAUAUUAUAAAUAUUGGUAUUUUUAUAAUAUUGGUCAAACCUUUAAAAGUUUAACUAAAGAGAAAAAAAAAGAAAAGGAGAAGCUGCAACAUUAAUUAAUCGGUUUCGCGGCAUCUUAUUCUAAGAUACCUUUGCACUGAAGCCACUCAUUGUAGAAAGGAACCGAGGAGUUUUUAUGGACCUUGGUCUAGCUAUUGUAAAUUGGAUCAUAUUUACAGUUAGGGAUGUAAGCGGUUAUGUCUCACUUCUAGUUCAUAAAGAAUUUGUUAGUUCAGAAUUUUGGCUCAAAAUUUGAGCUAAACUUUUAGAAUUGGCUUAGAAGUGGGAUAUUGGUCGAUCCCGCUUGACGCCCUGGCUACAGUUUUUGUGAUCUGACCUGAAGUAGGCACUACCUAGGGUAAUUUGUCCUAAUAAAAUACAAGUCCUAAUAGACCUAAGUGGGAAUAAGAAAAUAUAGACCACAUGGUACAUUGUUUAUCACUAGUAACACGUCGACCGACUGACCGAGACUGAUUGACAAGCUGAUAAUGCAUGGGUAUAUGUAUAUUCUUGAUUAAGUAACUGUAGUGUUUCAUUUGCGGAUUUUCCUCACACAAAAAAGAAGAAGAGAACUGGGGUUUUUUCGGGUGUGUUUGGUUUUGUACCGAAGCUAGUCAUGUCAAAAUAUUGUCAGCUCACGAUAAUUUGGUAUUGGUUUGUUUUGUUGUCAAAAUUUUGGUUGCUAAUGAAUAUCUCCAUUUCGCAUUUUCGGUCACAGAUGUUUGCCAAAUCUUUGUUCCCGUAUGGCCUCAAGAAUUGUUACCAAAAAAUCGCCCAGAUUUGAUAGGACUAGAUUAGCCAUUAACCAAACAACCCCUUCCUCAGUGCGGACGACGGGAAAAUUAAGCGCCUAUCUACGUGGCAUGCAACAUUUUCUAGCAUGCAUGUCAUCGGAGCUGCUUGAUUAGCCUUUUUUUGUCGCAACGUGUGGCUCACCACCAACAUCAUUUUUUACAUGAUUUCUUAUAGCAAAGCGAAAAUAUGGCCUUCCAGAAUUACGAACAAUGUCAAAAUAAACUUGUACGUCAGGAAUCAGGAACUUGGACUUAUGGGGAUGGAGAUAAACAUAAAACAUGUUGACACUGCGGCACGUUUAACUCAAUGCACGCGACAUCUAAACGCGGAUCGAUGGCACAUCAUUGGGUUGAUCCGUCCAUGUAAGAGCACCGCCCAAGGCCCACCUAGCAUGCCUCCGGGAGUCCGAGCGCUGCUAGUACUAUUCCCCCGUUACACAAAAACAACUCAUAAUUUUCAUUUGCUCCACGUCUCAUUUCUGUCUUGGCUCCUACACCCAACCAAUAACUACUCACGUCUCAUACUUUUAAUCCAAUAAGAAUGACCAGGCACAAGAACCAGAGCUAACUUCUUUGGUCAAAAUGCAUAAAUCUAUACAAACUGUUUUGUGGAACGGAGGAAAUACCUUUCCAGGAUGGCAAACAAGAGACGUGCAAUUUGAGAGUACUACUUCCUCCAUGCGUGUUUAUAGAGCUCUUUUACGGUAUCCCGGAAUAAAUAGGGACCGUCUAUCCAUCUCAAUCUAAUGGUCAGUUUUAUCCGGUACUCCAACACAAGUCUUAUGGAGUACAAGCUCUAAAAUCUAAGGAGUGCCUUGAUAUCAGGGGCAAAAACGUAAUCAACAAACCGAUUAAAUUUUCUGCUUCUACGUGUAGCUCACUUAGGAAAUAAUCUGGUGCGUGCUUAACAAUCAAAAUCAAACUAUAAUGCCCCUCGAUGUCAAACAAAUAAAUAAAGGCAAUAAAUUAUGUCGUCCCUUCACGAUCCAUUCUUUGAAGAACCCUAGAUUAAUCCUAAUCAACACGUAUGUUCUUCUCGGGAUGGCAGCUCCGGCGCUGGAGCUGCACAUGGCAGUGCAUUCACGCAGGUCAUCCGUUGGCAUGGCUGGCACUAGUCGGCCGUCGAUCGGCUUCUUGUCAGGCCUGAGCUUCUUGCAUCGACCAUGACUAUUUAUCUAAAUUUUGUGUUGCACUGUCGAUCAUCAAUAGUACGUCUUGCAUCUAUAUGUUCCAUUAUCGAUCAAAAUUUCUUGACUACUCAGAGUUAUCCCUUCAAUUAGGUGUACAUCUCCGUUGGAUGGAUUGAUCUGCACGCAUUUGAUCUGAUCGAUAGUUGCGUGAGUUCUUUCCAUGCUGGGCGGAGAAAAAGAUGUGUGGAUUGAAUUGGCUAGGUAGUUUAUGCAAUUGAAUAUGAUUGAUCUUUUCCUCGUUCGAUUCAUUGGUGCUGGGAGAACCAAAAUUUAUGGAAACAUUCUUCAGGAACUUUUCAUCGACUGCGAUGAGGCCUGAUUGAUAAUCCAUCACAUAGUUGCUCGUGGCGGCGGCUGUUUUCAGAAACUAGGCUGGCUUUUAGGUUAAGCAAAACAGAUAAAAUAAACUAUAAAAAGUCCAUAAUACCCUUGGAUAUCAAGGGCUGGUUUUAGAUGGUACUCCACACCACCCUAGGGGAGUGCCAAGGUACCGUAAAUUUUCUCUGUUUAUAAAGCAUGCACUUCCGAGUUUAGUACCCCCUCCGUCCCAAAAUAAGCACUUACACUUAUUUUUGGGAUGGAGGGAGUACAAUAGUUAAAUUAGAUGUUAGUUCUACCAUUGAAAUGUGGGUAUUGGACAUUGAAAACAUUUUUGGGAAAAUAAUCCUAAUUCUUAUGACAAAUAAUUCACAAAAAUUAUUUGCAUGAUAGUUAAAGUGAAAUUUUAAAAUAAGUAGGCGUCUUGAAACUCAGUAGGAGUGGUAUUGGCAUAAUGAAGAUAGAUAUCGCUGACUUCAGUCCGCUCGUUGGCCAUGUUGGGGUGCGAAGCAAUGCUUUAUUCGGCUACUAAGAAUGCAAUUCAUUUGAAUAUUUGCGCCAUAUAACUGCUAAAAAGUUACGGAUAAAAAACCAUCAGAAUCACCUAAAAGGAACCAUUGAAAUGAGCCUGGAAAUUCUUAGGGGAGGAAAGCAUGACUGGGAAUGGAAUGCCCCAAGAGUAAGUGCUUCAUUUUCAGAAAUUUGCCUCCUUUCCGUUAAUCAAGCAUGAGAUUUCAAUGUAAUACGAACACAGCUUAUGAACUUAAGCCUGCGACCCACGUUGCGUCAUCCCUUUUGAUUGUAACGAUGAUGAUAAGCUGCAUGGCAGAGAUGUUGCGAAAGAACCAUGGUUUCCUUUCAAAUGACACAUUCAAUGACUGAUUGUGACCCAUGGGCCAUGGCCAUCAAAAUCUGGACCAUAUGGGAUGGGAUAGAACUAUAGAAGGAUAGAUAUUCCUUUUCAUAAAGAUUGUGUAACUCCCAUGCAUGGUUCAGAUUUUGAUGGCCUCGAACCAACAAGCGUUCCUUCCUUCCCAAAAAAAAAAAACCAACAAGCCUUGAGCCCUUGACUAACACAAGCCCUCCCCACGUAAGUUUGUUUGAACAUUUUGUUUCAGAAUCGUAAAGACCAGAACUUAUCCAUGUGUUUCUAAAAAAAAGAACUUAAAAUGGCCCACCGAUCGGGGAAGACGAUGACCCUGGCUGGUACUGACUGCCGCACUGAUGGGAGGAUCAGUAAAAUCGUACGUUUUGGCCAGCAAGUCAUAUGCACUCUCGGUAGGUCUAAGCAUAUAUCCACGCGGAUAUUGCGUGUGAUUGAGCUAGCUGGAUCAUACCCGUGCACCAAUUAGUUGUCUUUAGUUUCGUCCAGUGCUUACACAGUAACAAAAGAAGGUGAAGCUCACAUGCAUGUAUGUGAUCUGUCCUGAAUUUGUAGCUUGGAAGGAUUCACGUGGACAGAAUGCCAUGUCCCACAUGUCUCCAGUUUCCACACGUUUCACGAAAUAUCAAUGCAUAUAUAGAAAAGAACAUUAAUUAGUUACUUUCUCCAAUACAUAAAAAAGUAUCGUACAUUUUAUACUAUGUUAAGAUAAAUUUUAUACUAAGUGGACGACAUUUUCUAUGUAUCGGAGGGAGUACUUAUCCGUUGAUAGGAAGCGGGUCAGUAUAUAUAGUGUCCGUUCGAUAUCAAAAGUAUCUUAGGAGUACCAAUCCAUUUGGCAUUAUACGCUCCUGAAAUUACAUGCGUGCCACUUUCACGCCCGGGAGUACGUGAGUUUGACAAUAUAUAACUUAUUUUUCGGUCGAAGGGAGUAACACCAUGUAUACCAUGCACAAUGCACAUGGAUCAUACAAUGCAUUAUCUGAUGAUGAUUUGUCCGGCCGUUUGUUGCAGACAUGUUCUGGCUAGUACUACUACUCCCUAAAAAGCAGAGUAAUAUGGCUGUCAACAAAAAGAAACAGAGGAGGGUAGAGCAGGAUGUUCUUAUCUAGUGUUUUUUCUUGAUAUCGAUGUGUGCGUCCCCGGGCUCAUACUUUUUUUUCUUUUAACUUACCGAGCUCCUAGGAUAAUCACUUGAUCAGCUGCUCAGCGUGCAUUGCGCGAUGUGCUGUCCUCGCAUGUUUGGCACGAAGAUUUAGGGCCCAACAUAUCAUAUCUGGGUUAUAUUAUAAAGGAAAAUCGCCCGCAAAAAAAUAUUAUAAAGGAAAACGAUUUCGUUAAAUCCUUUUUUACUCUCUUGUACGUCGUGCAAGGUGCAACCUUUGCCACACAUGGUUCUGCAGAAUGUUUUUUGAGAUCCAGGACCAGAGCGGCACCUUUGCCACAUGAAUUACUCGGUUCAGAAUUUUUGCGAAUUCCAAGACCACAGAGCCGACACCGCAAGAUCUACAAAAUCAGAACGCAUGCCACACGUGCGUACAAUGUGACAAGAAAGGCACAUGCAAUGCAGGUUUGAGAGGUGCAUAGCCAAAGGUGAAAACAAAAACGAUGGUUAGGUAGUUUAGCUCGGCCACCUGUUAUGAUAGACUACCUAAAUAACUCCAGUCCGUAGCAAAAAAAUAACCUCACCACGUUCGGUUGUUCUCCUGAUUGGCUGAUUAGCUUUAUAAUUAGCCCGUCGCUCCUUCUAGAUCGACAGCUAGCGCAUGCGACAUUGGUAAAAGGCUAUCGAUGAUGGGAGUUUUAGCCGAAAAUAUAGACUGGACUACUGGAGCAGGAGUACUUACUUCGCAGCAGCUCAGGCUAAGAUGGACCUGAGCGUGGCAAGUGGCAGCCAUGUGGAUCGUGAAUUCGGGUUACACAUGCUACCGACACUGCGGACUAUAACAUCUAACUUAUCAUGACUUCUCUUUCCCGUCUCCUCCUUUUUUGUAAGGACUUGUUGUUUUCAUUAAGCAAUAAUGGAAAAGGGGUGUAUCCCGGUUUAAAAAUAUAAUUAACUUAUCACGCUGCUAUCCCCCACCGGCCAGUCGAUUGAAGUUAUACUGGAAGUUUAUCCGAAAAAAAAAAGUUAUACUGGAAGUUAUUGAUCAGUUCUUGGACGGUUAUGAUAGCUUGCUGUCAGACUAUUAAUUGACUUUUCAGCUAAUCGAAAGUCGCCCAGCUGUAUAUCUCUUAUCCUGCCACAUCCUGGUUAUCUAAUUAAGUUGAAUAUAAACAGUGGAUGCAUCACACAUGUAAACGUGCUGGACCAAGCAUAUAUAUUAGUGAGAAGCCCCGAACUAUCUUUGCUUUGUUUAGUUGAAACUUUGUCUAGGACUCUGCUCUUGAAAUAUUCCUUUUUCCAGGUUCAACACGCGCAAUGCAAAAUCGGAAUGGACAAUGUCGCACCAACUGAAUAUGCACAGAAGUUUUUUAACAGCAAACUGAAAUGUUCAAUAAUUUGACCAAAAGGAAAGGUUUCUCUCUCUUGCGCGCACGGUAUAUGUGUACCAGUGUACGUAAUCGCAUACUUAGACGGUUGGCAUUUGACCAAUCUAUUUAAUUUAAGAGUAAAAUAUACUCCACUUUCUCUGUAUGGAUGCAGAUACGGCACACGCAUGUACUACCUCCGUUCCUAAAUACUUGUUGUUGUUUUAGUGCAACUUGCACUAAAACAGCGACUGCACUAAAACAUUGACAAAUAUUUAGAAACGGAAGGGUAAGAUAAUUCCGCAAGUUAACAAGUUGGGCUGCUCUGCUAUAUAUUGGUUGAUAAGUUAUGCACAUGUAUGAUGUACAUACGCGAAGCACGUCCGUACGCAAGUCUUUUAAUUAGUCUAAGAUAGUCUGUAUCCUACGUGUCAUGAUCGAUACAUGUCGAAUUCAUUAGUGUGGGAAGUAACGGGCCGGGGAAUUGAAGACCAGAAUUUUUUUCUCAUCAGGAAUCAGUCGACGGGCCGACCUUGCCACGGAUUAAUUUUAAUGAUUAUGAUUCUUCUUGCUUAAGUAAAUAAAUCACGCACUAUAUGGUUCCAGUACGGCUCAUGUAACGUACUACUUCCCAUCGUACUUCCAUGGACCAUGGUGAUGACUGACGAGGCAUGCACGCAAGUGGAAUGCGACACAUUCGAUGCCACGUAAAUUUUAUAUAGUUCAUGUAUAUCAUCAGGUCGAUUAGUCUUUUCCCUCGCACACAUAAAUUAAUAGUGGAUUUAUUAACAGAUCGGCAAGCGGUCCUCCGGUUAUCUCUGAUUUCUCGACCCAUUGCCGCGAAGAUCGAGCUCCGGCCGGCCGGAUGACAAGCAAGGUGCAAACGGAAGUCCCGCUUAUAUUUCAAUUUUCAUAUCUUCUAUUCAAAUUCUGAAUAAAAUUUUGAAUAAUUUUUUUGAAAAAUGAACUAGAAGCGAGACUUUCACGGGAUCCCGUUUGCAUUUAACAAGUGAGUCCACAGAAAACAUGCAUGGCGCACGAGCAAGAGCAAAGACACGGCGACAAUCGGUCCAUUCGUCGUUCUCUGUGUCCCGUGUUGAUUCUUCCUCCGGAACCUUCUUCUUCUCUGCGCGCGUCUGCGCCUGAUAAGCCUGGCAGAUAUACAGGAUGAGGACGCUGUUUUUCAUGUGCUGGAAACACUCUAAAUUUUUCUUGUCUGGGCCAGGCAAGUGUCUGGCCAAAAAGCUUCCGAUCAAUUCAGCGGCCAGCAGCGCACGUCCGGUCGAAUAUUAUCUUUUUCACAUCUUCGCCCCUGGGAAGAAGACUUUCGUUUGGGCGGCGCCAAGACACGGACCCGCGGGCGCGGCGUCCCUGCGCAGGAGGCUGUGCAGUGUGCAGCACGAGAAAUUCACGGAGGCGAGCACGCAAUCACGCAAAGGCAGCGACCGGCUUGCACGUGGGGCCGGCGUCAGGAUCGGCGCUGGGUCCCACAGCCUUAACCCAGUUCUUCCGGGUGGUCCCCGUCUCCCUUGUAAACCUUGUGGCCAGCAAAAUCUCCCGGUAUUAAUCUACUCGUAUAGAGAUUAGACGUUUAAUGAGGAGACGGCGAGAGAUGAGAUAUUGCGCUCGCGCGGGGAGCGAGACUGUGAGGUGAGAGACAGGUCAGCGUCGCCGAGCUGGCGCCUUCCGAGUGGGCCGUCUCCCCGUAUGCAUGAUUGGGAGGGGGUCCAUCAUUCAGCUGAGCUGGGAGGAGGUGGUUUCCGGGGCCGGUUCCGCCCGGGGGAGGGAGGGAGGCCGAAUCGCCGGGCUACGUGGUUUUUAUACCUUGUCCUGCCCGGCGGCCGGUCAUCACCCGGCAAUCAGCCACGGCGGAUCGUUUUGUCCGUUAUUGCCGUUGCGGAAACCAUUCCCCGUUUCGUCCAUCAAGGUUGCCCAUGCCGGGAGACCAUGUUAGGUCGCUGCGUCCCAGCUUGUGCUUGUUUUCUUCCCAUCCCACACGCGCGGUGAAUGAAUGUACGAGAGUGAGUGUAAUUAGAUCCGGCAAAUUUGGUGGCUGACGACCCAUCUGUCCCCACUGUGAAAGUGUGGGGAGGCAAUUAGUAACCGGCCACCAGUUGGAGAGAUUAAUCCGUGACUGCAAAGUCCGAACCAUCCACACGACUAUUCCUACCAAGAAAAAGUUCUACACAAGCAGGAAGGAAAAGCAACCAGAAAUUCUCGGAUCCAGUCAUCCAGAGGGCCGUGGUGGGGGCAGGCAACGACAAUGCCGCUCCGUGUCCGUUUCUCUACGGCUUUUGCGGUGCCCGGAAGCGAACUGAUCGCGCCACCGCGUGCGCGGCCGAUCGGGGGAGCGGCGGGUCCCGGUGGCAAAGCAUCGAGCAAACACAAGGCGAAGCCGGGCCACAUGCGCGUCCGAAUAAUUGAGCCAGUGGAUAGGGCCCCGGGAUCCGCCGCCCUCGACUGCUACAGCCUACGUACGGGGCACGUGCGCGGUUACCUGCACCAAGUCACCGACCGCGGUAAUUUUUCUGCAUGCGUUUCAUCUUUCACUCAUGUCAAAAUGCAUAUGCUAGUCGUUAACACCGGCUUUACUGUCUGGAUCAAUGCAUACGGAGUGCAUCCGUAGGGACAUAAUCUGGUGGGGAAAGUGGCACCGAGCCCUGUUCUAUUGUGGACAGAAAGAUGAGUGCUGGUUCAUACCGUUUCAAAACUUCCGUUAAUCCGGCGCUUUAAUCACGACCGCAAUCUUGGAAUCGUUUCUCAGAAUAUAAAUUUGUUGCACGUGCAAGCGUGCGACACGGCGUGGCCGGUUAAUUAGCUUUCUUUUGGCGAGCAAAUGUUUGACGUGAAUGGCUCUAAACAAACAAGGACGACGCCGACGCGCGGACGUACGUGAACAUGCAGCCCUCGAUAUGGCACGAGCAAAAAAAUAAUCAACGCGGGGCCUGAUAAUCAUGAAAGUAUUAAUUAUUCAAACGGGAAAAAAAAAUACGAAUCUCCUUCAACGUCUAUGAUCCUCCUUUUCUGUUGCUAUAAACGUGAUGCGAGGUCCCAAGUGCAUCAUAACGCAGAAUAUAAUAUACUAACACGAAUUCCUCCGAUUGUUUGAUCCGAUCACGCUUCUGUGUUGUUGUUAGCCGGUCCGACGUGGCCACACGGACCCACACACUUCUCCGUACCUUGCUUGCCAGAAUAGAAAAACCGAGUAUCAGACCGCAACGACUAGACAAUUAGAUACUCCACUGACCAUGUGAAGUGAUCGCUCUUGCGUAUCGAUGCCUACUCUUAGGAUAAGCACUGUUAAGCAGAAGUAGUUGCGGACUUGAGGUUCCCCUCGGAGCUGGAGAUCCUUUUAAGAUCCCAAUCCUCUCUCCGGAAGCCAUGGGCAUCCCACCCCAAUGAUCAAAACAAAACACAUAUCCAACGACAAUAAAAAAAGGUCGAUGUGCGAGUAAAACAAAUCGGCAACCACGUACAACCCAGCAAGUGGCAGCACUUGCACCGUAAUGUGCACGUCGUACAAUCCAAAGCCCGGACUUUUUUACGCCGUUUUGGUCUUAUCCGGUAAACCUUUUCCUCUGGCGCGCGGUAAUCCGUAGCUACGUCAUCUGCCGUCGAGGCCCGUAUCUACCUAUAUUCCCCAGACGGUAAUUAAAUGGUUGUGCACUUAUCGGAAUCAGUAUGGGCGUGGGAAAUUUUCGUGAACCGACCGGCGAUGUCAAGAGUGGUUCCUUAGGGCCACUCGAGAAAAAAAGAAAAAGUGGUUCCUUAGGGCAUGUACAAAUGUACAGACACACAUCAAUCUAUACUCUCUCCGUCUCAUAUUAAGUGACUCAAAUUUUUCCGAAUAUGAAUGUAUCUAUGCUUAAAAUCCGUCUAGAUACAUGUAAAAGAAAAGUCACUUAAUAUUGGAUGGAGGGAGUACUAUUUUGCAUGUGAUUUACACACAACAUAAAAGAUAGUAUGUACAAUUGUCUGUCUGUAAGUUGUUCAAUGAAAUCUCUAGUACAAAAUAUAGACGACAUGCAUACAAUGGGAAAUAGUCUGUCUAUAAGCUGCCUAUAAGAUUGUCUGUUAAACUACGGACAUCAUCCUCUCUCCCUUAGAGCACCUCCAAUAGGUUACAAAUCACUCACCCACAAAAGAAAAUGAGAUACGAAUCAUCUAUUACUUGAUGCGGUUUUCUCUUUCCUCAAGUGUCAUUCGCUGUUAACUAUCUGGUUGUGAACUUUUGGAAAAGAUACAUGGAUGCGAUGAACCAUGAGGCGUCUGUGGCUGAGGUGGUGACCACCAUGCUCCCGAAUAUUGCCUUCAGGAGGAAUAUAAUUAGGGGCAAAAGUAAUUGUCUGGGAGGAGUUGUGUGCCAAACUUGCUUCGGUUCAACUUCUAGACCAACUAGAUUCGUUUUUCUGGGUGUUGUCUUCUUCGGGGUCGUACUCUGUGAAAUUAUUUUAUCAUUUUUUAUUAAUAUUGAUUGUCAGCUCCAUCAUAAGAUUAUAGGAAGUUUAAAUCUUCUGAUUGGCUUCUUUGUUGCGAACUCACGGGGUUAUGUUGACUCAGGAUAAUUUAGUGAAAAAAUAGGUAGGGUUGCAAAAAUAUUGUAUUUUGUGAUCAAAAUGAAAAUAUUCAUCACUUAUUUCUUGAGUGUCGUACUUUGACUCACUUAGUGCGGAGAGUUAUCCUUUUUACUUUUAGUCUCUCGCCUCCCACUUGCGUUACGAAUUUGUUUGGUCAUUGGCUUGGUGGGAUGGAGAAGUCUCUCAAAUCGCUCAUUCUUGUUAGGUCUUGUGUGAUUUGUUGGUCCAUCGGAAUUGUCAGAAUGAUUUAGUUUUUAACAAAAAGGAAACAUUCCAAUUUUUUGCAGGUGGUCUGUUGGGCGACCUACUGGCUCCGUUUUUUGUUCCCCACUGCUUCCGAUGGUGGCUAAGGAAUUUAUGAAAUCUGGGUGCAGCCAUAUGGAAACGGUAGCACAGAUGUUCUACAACCAGUUUGAGCGGCGCGUAGAUCGCAGGUUGGAUAUUGGAUGGAUUUUUUUUAGCCUUUUUGUGUUAUAUUUUGAGCUAUUUGAGAUGUAAUUGAGAAAGAUGAUACGGAUAUUAUGGAUAUGUGCAUCGAUAGUUCAGAGGCCGGGGGUAUUCCCUCCUUAAAAAAAAUGUUAGGCGAACGAUUGAAAGUAGAAAGAAGAAAAGUGACCGGUUUCAUCUAAAAGAAACGGUUAUAAAAAAAGUUAGAGAUGUAGAGGAGUAUGGAAAGUGGAUGCUGAGAAUUUUUUUUUGCUUUUAAGAAGUUUUUAAUUCUAAAAAGAAAUAAUAGGUAGAGAAGACAUGGAAGCAAAAAUAACGACUAUAUAAACUGCUUGCAAGAUUGCUCUCCAUUUUCGGAAGGACUCGCACAUAUAUGACUACACUCUUCACUUACAACGUGUUGGAUAGAAAAAAAAGGAAACAUGAGUUUCCAAGAAAAAUCAGAAAAAAGAAAUCUCUGAUAUAGUAUCGAGGACAUAUCUCUACUCGGUGAUAUUCUUUUUCGGAAAGUAGAUUUCCAGCCUCUACUUGGUGAAUGUUUAAUUAAAAAUUCGUGGAAUCCAUGCGCUCUAAAAGGAAAGGAGUUACCACUCACCUUAAGAAUAUCUCCAUAUCUAAGCAAGAGUUGCAUCUCCUAAUCUUAUAUGUUUGUCUCUUGUUAACUUCCAAAUCUUCUAUUCGUGUGACUGGUCGUGUCUUGUAUGGCAACAACUCAAAUAACAUUGCCAAUUCAAAGCAGGACACCCACAGAGGAGAAUAGGAAACAAGUAUAAGUAAAGGAAACAAGUCUAAUUCCAUUCGCUGGAGGCACAAAAAAGGGGUGGGCAUAGCGUUUAGGCCUUUAGGGGUUCGGACCUCCCCUGUCGAAUUUUCCUAUUCUUUAUAGUCCUUCACGAGUUCUUUGCGUGUGCGUUUACUCGUUUCGUUGCCCGCUUGGUUACAUCUCACGGGAGACGGAACCGCGCGAGCACAAGAGAAACAGAGAGGAAGGCAGAGCAACGCAACAGAGGAGGGCGGGGAGCAGGACAGGAGAGGGGGCGAGCUAUAAGUAGAACACAACCACCUCUUCUCUCCGCCUACCCGCCUCAUCCAUUCUGAUCCAAAUCCCGACCCCAACGCCUUCGGCAGAAAGGGAGCAGUCAAAUCCCAAACCCAAUUCCAACGCCUUCGGCAGAAAAGGCAGCAGCAGCAGUAGUAGUCGUCGUCUUGCGGAUACGGUAGUGCGGGUCGCGGCGCGAUUAAAGCCGGCUCCGUUCGGCUUCGAUUCGGCGGGGAGGCGUUUGUGAAUGGUGAACGGCGAAGAGGAGUGCACGCGGGCGUCGCUGCUGGGGAGGUAUGAGAUCGGGCGGACCCUCGGGGAGGGCAACUUCGGCAAGGUCAAGUACGCGCGCCACCUCGCCACCGGCGCCCACUUCGCUGUCAAGAUCCUCGACCGCAACAAGAUCCUCUCCCUCCGCUUCGACGACCAGGUACUGCUAAUCCCACCGCCUGGCCUGCUCGCCAAUCGGGAGCCUUCCCUGCUCCGUUUCCACCGAUUUCGCCUUUCAGUUGCCGUUUGCUGACCAGUUUGCGUGUGUGCCGAUGCUUUGGUCGCCAGAUAAGGAGGGAGAUUGGGACAUUGAAGCUGCUCAAGCACCCCAACGUCGUCCGCUUACAUGAGGUGCGUGCUUUCUUCCCGCUGCUCAGCCGAAUCUACGUUUGCUGCCUUUUUCCUUCCUGAUUUUGCUUCUUCUCUUGUCGCGAAAUUCAGUGGGGGGGGGGGGGGGGCUUCCGUGGUCUGGAAGGAAAGGGGCAUUUUGGCUUGCACUCAGCACUAGGAUUUAAGGUUGGUGUUUACGAGAGGCGUUGUGAUGUGAGGGGAUUAGCCGAUUGGGGAGUAGUUUUAACCGCAAAGCUUGGCUGCCUUUCGAGCUCCUGUGCACGCGACGCAAAGGAUCAGAACCACCGCGCACGGGAACGGCACCUCGCCGGCGUUCCUUAUUCGCUAGCUCUACUAUAGACGCGGUCUAUACACCUAUGCCAAGAUUCGUGCCGUCCAUACCCGGCCUGUUUGGGAAACUAAUAAAUGUUUACAGACAUGCUGUACAAAUAAAUGGUGUAGUUUGUCAAAAUUAGAAACUUAUCUGGAAUUGUAAAAAAAUCGAUUUUCCAAAUACAAAAGACGAAACAAAUCCUCAUAUUCCGGAAAUAGUAGCACGAGAAUAUAAAUGACCCGAAACGUCCACGUCACCGGAUGCCGCGAGCCGACGGCCUGGAUGGAAGGAAGCAUGGAGAGCUGGGCCCUUCUACAGAAGCAUGAAGAAGCCGGCCCAUCCCUGGCCCAAGGCCUCGUGAAGGCGUGAAGCAGGACGAAUGGUUUGCCUAUCGAGGCAUGUGGUUGGUUCCCCCAAGUGGUCCCGUGCGCCUGACUGCUCGCCGGUGCUGGACCCAGACAAGACCACCGCGUCGGUCUCACCACGUCGCCCUCCGGGUAAUCUCUACGGAGACGGAGAUGUGAUGUCCCGUGCGCCGGGUGCACCAAGUCACCCGCCGACCGCCGUGUCCCGUCCCGUGUGAGCACGGUAAACCGGGAGAAGGCCUAAUCAUGUGUGCCCUUGCAAUUUGGGCCCCACACACGUGUUCUGGAGGGAGACCCGCGGUACGAUCCCUGGGCGCUCCAACUCUGCGUGUCACCCUGUGGCCUUGAAACUUUGCUCUCCCUCCUUCUCUCUCUCACUCUGCCGAGAUGAGAUGAUGGCGAGCUGAAUAGCAUGGUGAUCGAGCUGAAGCAUCAUCACCUUCGAACCUAACGAUGCCUUUUUGGUUCCUCUCACACAAUUGUGUGUCCGAAAUCAUGAGGCUCGCAACGCUCGUGCACAUAAACGUAGUGUACUGCUCAUGUUCACUUCUCAAAAAUCAAAAUCAGUUUUUUCUUUGACAAACCAAGGAAUCAUUACUUAUUUGGCAGAUACGAAAUUACGUAGACGUUGCCUUUGUCCGAUUCAGAAUGUAUUUACGGGCAACUAUUUCUUUCAAAAUCAUAAUUAUGGGAAAGUGUGUUAAUUCUCAAAAGUUUUCUUAGGACAAUAUCUUUUGUUAUCUAUGUGCAAUUGAAAAGAAAGACA
rnacentral:lncRNA from 1 species